rnacentral:pre_miRNA from 1 species
GAAACUCAAAUAUGUAUGGGAUUGCAACGUUUGCCUACGUUUGUCGCUAGGGAAGCUGUUCCAGCCCCAUACAAAUUAGAGUUA